rnacentral:rRNA from 1 species
GCAAGUCGAACGAGAACGGAUUAAAGCUUGCUUUAAUUGUCAGCUAAGUGGCGCACGGGUGAGUAAUAUAUAGGUAACGUGCCUUCAAGAAGGGGAUAACAAUUGGAAACGAUUGCUAAUACCCUAUAUGCCUUUAAGUCUUAAGACUGCAAGGGAAAUAUUUAUAGCUCUAGGAUGAGACUGUACGGUAUCAGCUAGUUGGUGAGGUAAUGGCUCACCAAGACAAUGACGCUUAACUGGUUUGAGAGGAUGAUC